rnacentral:rRNA from 1 species
AACGAACGCUGGCGGCGUGCUUUUAACACAUGCAAGUCGAACGCGAAAUGGGGCUUCGGCCUGAGUAGAGUGGCAGACGGUGAGUAACACGUGGGUAAUUUGUCCUUGGGUGUGGAAUAACUACCCGAAAGGGUGGCUAAUACCGCAUAAGACCACGUCUCUUCGGAGAUGCGGUAAAAGAUUUCGGUUGCCUGAGGAGGAGCCCGCGGCCGAUUAGCUAGUUGGUGAGGUAAUGGCUCACCAAGGCGUCGAUCGGUAGCUGGUCUGAGAGGAUGAUCAGCCACACUGGUACUUAGACACGGACCAGACUCCUACGGGAGGCAGCAGUGGGGAAUAUUGCGCAAUGGGCGAAAGCCUGACGCAGCAACGCCGCGUGGGUGAUGAAGGCCUUUGGGUCGUAAAGCCCUGUCAGAUGGGAAGAAACCUAGUAAUAGCUGACGGUACCAUCAAAGGAAGCACCGGCUAACUCCGUGCCAGCAGCCGCGGUAA